rnacentral:rRNA from 1 species
CAGUUCGGAUUGUAGGCUGCAACUCGCCUACAUGAAGUCGGAAUCGCUAGUAAUCGCGGAUCAGCAUGCCGCGGUGAAUACGUUCCCGGGCCUUGUACACACCGCUCGUCAAGCCAUGGGAGCCGGGGGUACCUGAAGUGCGUAACCGCGAGGAGCGCCCUAGGGUAAAACUGGUGACUGGGGCUAAGUCGUAACAAGGUAGC